UACGUAGGGUGCAAGCGUUGUCCGGAAUUAUUGGGCGUAAAGAGCUCGUAGGCGGUUUGUCACGUCGGCUGUGAAAACCUAGGGCUCAACCCUGGGCCUGCAGCCGAUACGGGCAAACUAGAAUUCGGUAGGGGAGACUGGAAUUCCUGGUGUAGCGGUGAAAUGCGCAGAUAUCAGGAGGAACACCGGUGGCGAAGGCGGGUCUCUGGGCCGAUAUUGACGCUGAGGCACGAAAGCGUGGGGAGCAAACAGG
rnacentral:rRNA from 1 species